AUUUCAGAGAAGGUCAGGCAGAGGUAAGAAAAACCUUGACUUUUAUGUGGUAUGCUCUCACCAUAGACACAGAAUUUUAUGGGCUCACACAUUUAAAGAAGACCGACAGUGUUACUGAUCUUAUGCCAAUCAGAUCCUCUAGGUGGGAAUUCCCCUGCUUGCAUAGCCCAAGUUGAGAAGUGAAGUGGGAAGGAGACAGCAGCACGAGAGGUAGCUGAGUGAAGAGUGAUCACCAAGAGAGAGAUGAAACGUGAAAUAAGUUAACCGGCACCCAGACACCAGAGCUGGAGCACCAGGGAAUGUUUUCUACAUGGAGGAAUACAGCCAGGAAAGAGCUCAGUGAGCAAUGGUCUUGGGGCUGCGUGAUCAGGUAGCUACUUAUGUCACUCCACCCUGUUGCACAGCCAUGUCACUGUGUUAUCCAGGCAGCCUUGUGUGACCAAAGAAGCCCUGUAAAAGAGCCUCAGCUGGAUAGCAUGAAAAAAAAAUGUCUACACAUACCUGGCAGGUGUGGGCCAUGUACGUGGUCUUGGCUG